UGGAUGCCCGUAGAGGUCGGACGUGUGUGCGACUGCCAAGCAUCAAGAAGAACCAUCUAUUAUAGAUUUUGGAUGCAGUGAUCUGCUACCCACAUCUAGGUAUGAAGUUUUGUAUUCAAUUAAUAUUUAGAUAUGAUCUAAAUAUAGAUUAGAUAUAUCCUGUACUUGCUGAAUUUUAGAUUUCAGAUGUGCAUACAUGCAUAUUAGUUCAUAUCAUAGAUCCUGUA
rnacentral:lncRNA from 1 species